rnacentral:rRNA from 1 species
GACGAACGCUGGCGGCGUGCUUAACACAUGCAAGUCGAACGAUGAAGCUAGAGCUUGCUCUGGUGAAUUAGUGGCGAACGGGUGAGUAACACGUGAGUAACCUGCCCCGAACUCUGGGAUAACUGCUGGAAACGGUAGCUAAUACUGGAUACGACCUACGAGGGCAUCUUCUGUAGGUGGAAAGAAUUUCGGUUCGGGAUGGACUCGCGGCCUAUCAGCUUGUUGGUGAGGUAAUGGCUCACCAAGGCGACGACGGGUAGCCGGCCUGAGAGGGUGACCGGCCACUGGGACUGAGACACGGCCCGGACUCCUACGGGAGGCAGCAGUGGGGAAUAUUGCACAAUGGGCGCAAGCCUGAUGCAGCAACGCCGCGUGAGGGAUGACGGCCUUCGGGUUGUAAACCUCUUUUAGUAGGGAAGAAGCGAAAGUGACGGUACCUGCAGAAAAAGCACCGGCUAACUACGUGCCAGCAGCCGCCGUAA